GAAAUGGUAUUGACCCGUGGGGGCUCAUGCUGCAGAGGUGACGUUGCUGUGGGAUUAGUUCUGCAUUCUUUGGAACAACAGCUCAUUAGAGUCCUACCACAGCUCCAUGGUGUCAUCAGAACCGAGUCAUCGCCACCACUGGAAUAAAGAGAGGCCCACGCAGGGAAGGUAAAGCUGAUCACCACUAUCCCCUCCUUGUGGCUGGAGGGGUAGUUCUGUUGUUUGCUGUAAUCAUCAUCAUCAUCAUCGUCAUUUCUUGUUACAGAAGGAGGAGGAGACAGAAGUCCACCCCAUUUAAAGAGUCCUGGGAUACAAAGAGUAAGGUGAG